AUGGGGAGAUUUCCGAAGAGAAAUUGUGUUUUUAUCAGGUUAAAUGGGGGAUUCUCGAAGAGAAAUGCAUGGUUUUUGAUUAAAUGGGGGAUUUCUGAAAAGAAAAUGCAUGACUUUCGGGUUAGAUCAGGGAUUCUUGAAGAGAAUCGUGGUUUUUGUAUCAGGUUAAAUGGGGGAUUCUCGAAGAGAAAAUGCAUGGGUUUUUUGGCAUUAAAUGGUGGAUGUUAUUUUUGGAAAAGAAAAAGAAAAUGCGUGACUUUCGGGUUAGAUCAGGGAUUCUUGAAGAGAAAAUGCAUCAUUUUUGGGUGGCAUGGGGGAUUUCCGAAGAGAAAUCGUUUUUUGAGUUAAGUGGGGGUUUUUGAAGAGAAAAUGCAUGAUCUUCGUUUACACGUGAGAUUGAUGUAGAGGAAAUGCGUGAUUUUUGGGUUCAAAGGGGGAUUCUCGUAGCGAAAUGUUUGCUUUGGGGCUCAACUGGUGGAUUUUUGAAGAGAAAAAGCGUGAUUUUCAGGUUAAAUGGGGGAUUUUCCAAGAGAAAAUGUGUGAUUUUAGGGUUAAGGGGGUAUUUUUGGAGAGAUAAUGCAUGAUUUGGGGGUAAAUGGGGAUUUCCAAGAGAAAA
rnacentral:lncRNA from 7 species